UACAGAGGUCUCAAGCGUUGUUCGGAUUCAUUGGGCGUAAAGGGUGCGUAGGUGGCUGCGUAAGUCGGGUGUGAAAUCCCGGGGGCUCAACCCCGGAACUGCACUCGAUACUGCGUGGCUUGAGUACUGGAGAGGAGAUUGGAAUUUACGGUGUAGCAGUGAAAUGCGUAGAUAUCGUAAGGGAAGACCAGUGGCGAAGGCGGAUCUCUGGACAGUUACUGACACUGAGGCACGAAGGCCAGGGGAGCAAACGGG
rnacentral:rRNA from 1 species